rnacentral:lncRNA from 1 species
ACCAUUAAAAUGAUAGACUGAUCAUUUCUUUGUAAGUGGGCAAACGUACAAAAUCAGCAGGGGAUCAAAUACUUUUUUCCCCCACUGUAGAACCCUUUUCACAGAGGGUUCUACUUGGAACCCUAAAGGGUUCUACCUGGAACCAAAAUUGUUUAUUUUAUGUGGACAGCCGGAGAACCCUUUUGGAACCCUUUUUACUAAGAGUGUAGGGCCCUACUUUUGACCAGUAAUAGGGUACCAUAGCACUAACAGGCAGUGGCCAUUUCCUCAAGAUGGUGGGAUUCUUUCUGUGCUUUGUUUCACACCCAUAUUCGUCAGGACAACAGUGUGGCUAGUUAUAAGCUUAGAAAAUAGCUGACAGGUGUUAAGCAACAUCAUAGAGAUGUAACAGCAGUCCAGUCAUUCAAAUAAAAGUCACACAUCAAUCUCUAUAACGUCUACAGUUUGACAGACAAUAAAGUUGAUAGGAGUGCACUAUUUGAAAGGUUUAUUCUGAAACAGGAUGUGUGAUCCGGUCUUAAACCCUGACCACACUAGAAAUCUCUCCAUGUGAUUGCAUGAACAUCUUUUAAAAAAUGGUUUUAUGUAUACAUGUAUCUCUCUGACGCUAAUUAGACAUUUUAUUUUAAUAUAGUGAUCACUUAUUAUUCUUUUUAAAAUAUCACCAUACCCAUGUUCAUCGUUUUGAAAUAAACAUGAUGUCAAGUAAAAACACUCAUUCUGUCUUUGGAUAAAGUGCACCCAUGACAGUUAAGGUUUGGAAUGUAGGCAUCCCAUUUAUUUUGAAAUUAACUAAAUAAUUCACUCUUUCAAUAUCAGACCUUUAUUACCUCAGACCUGAUAUUGUUUGUAUUUUCCUUCAAUUCUGAGGGAGUAAUCCUGAACCAUAAUCAAAAGACUACUGUCAAGGUGCAAGUAAUAUACAGGAGAAAAGUUACAAUUCUGCUGUUUUUCCACCUUUUCAAGUUAAAUGAAUGCAAUCGAACAUUUCACCAGGGCUGGGCUCAAUUCCAUUUCAAAAAUAGGAAUGUUCUUGUGUAAUACCAGAGGACACAUAUCUACAUUAUUAAAUCACUCCAUCUGAGAGCUUAAUGAGUCUUGUGUUCCUGGACUUGCUAUUAUUAUAGGUCAGAAGGACAAUAAUAAAUAUUAUUUCCACAACAUUUCAUGCAACCAAAAUAAUGAAAUACCUAGUAAACAUUACCAGAACAAGCAUUGUUUGUGACAGAUGUACUCAUCCAUGGGAAAAAUAAAUGAUAAUAGCCCUUUGCAAAAAGGCAGUUCACAUCAUGCUGUGGUGCCUUGAGAAUAUGUCAGAGAGAGAGAGGAAGAGAGAGAGAAAGGGGAGAGAGAGAGAGAGAGAGGGGAGAGAGAGAGAGGGAGAGAGAGAGCAAGGGGAUAGAGAGAGGAAAAGAAAGAGAGGAGAGAGAGGAAGAGAGAGAGAUAGAGAAAGAGAUAAAGAGAGAGAGGAUAAUAGACAGAUGAAAUAUGGCUAUUUUUCCUGUUUGACAAACCCUACUCUAAACAAUUGCAGGAGGAAAGUGUGAGUAUCCCAGUUGAAGUUUGGACACAGAUUUAUGCCCCUAUCCCAGCCAGGGACAAUCACCCAACCAUCAUAUAUCACUAAUAUGCAGCAGCAAGACAUAGAGAUAUAUGCAUUAUAAUUGUAAAGCCAAAUUGGAACCACUCAUACAUGUUCCAUACAUUGCCGUAAUUACAAGAGUAUGUUUACAACUGGGGCAGAAGUAUGAGCUGUAUGCUGCUUGGAAUACAUGCUAUCAUCAAUAUACACAGAUGUUUGAUUUACUGCAUAUAGUACGUUCCCAGCAGAAUAUGUGGAGGAAACAUAUAUGUAUCUGAACUACAGGUAUUGGGAUGAAGACAACAAAAACCUUAACAGCUUCUUUGACCAAAAUGGAAACAUAUUGUUCAAAUGGUCUGUAAUAAGGAGAGCAAAUCUGUAUGGUAACAUAUCCUGUCAGGACUUUACUUGGCAGUGGCACACGAUCUCUGUGAUGUGUGUUAUGUAGUUCAGGAUAGAGGAGAAACCUGUAGGCCACCACCAUUAGAAGCAGCAUGUUAAUAAGCCAAUGCAUACCUGUUGUUUCCUCAGUUUGUUGUUGAAUAUGAAUGAUUUCAUUCUGAUGGUUUAUAAAGGUCUCAGUAAAAGUAGGGUUAAAGCCACCUUCUGUAAAUGUUGUUUUUGUCAUGAAAUGAAUUGCAUCAUCACAUGAGAGGGCAGGUCUGGUUGAGCACACAGAAUGAAUAGCAUCUGGGGAUGUUAUAGGGUGUUAUAGCAGUAGGAUGUUAUAGGGCCAGGUGUUAUAGGAGUAGGAUGUUAUAGCAGUAGGAUGUUAUAGCAGUAGGAUGUUAUAGGGUCAGGUGUUAUAGCAGUAGGAUGUUAUAGCAGUAGGAUGUUAUAGGGUCAGGUGUUAUAGGAGUAGGAUGUUAUAGGGCCAGGUGUUAUAGGAAUAGGAUGUUAUAGGGUCAGGUGUUAUAGCAGUAGGAUGUUAUAGGGUCAGGUGUUAUAGCAGUAGGAUGUUAUAGCAGUAGGAUGUUAUAGGGUCAGGUGUUAUAGGAGUAGGAUGUUAUAGGGCCAGGUGUUAUAGGAGUAGGAUGUUAUAGGGUCAGGUGUUAUAGCAGUAGGAUGUUAUAGCAGUAGGAUGUUAUAGGGUCAGGUGUUAUAGCAGUAGGAUGUUAUAGGGCCUGGUGUUAUAGCAGUAGGAUGUUAUAGCAGUAGGAUGUUAUAGCAGUAGGAUGUUAUAGGGCCUGGUGUUAUAGCAGUAAGAUGUUAUAGGGCCUGGUGUUAUAGGAGUAGGAUGUUAUAGCAGUAGGAUGUUAUAGCAGUAGGAUGUUAUAGGGUCAGGUGUUAUAGCAGUAGGAUGUUAUAGGGUCAGGUGUUAUAGCAGUAGGAUGUUAAAGCAGUAGGAUGUUAUAGGGUCAGGUGUUAUAGCAGUAGGAUGUUAUAGGGUCAGGUGUUAUAGCAGUAGGAUGUUAUAGCAGUAGGAUGUUAUAGGGCCAGGUGUUAUAGGAGUAGGAUGUUAUAGGGCCAGGUAUUAUAGCAGUAGGAUGUUAUAGGGUCAGGUGUUAUAGCAGUAGGAUGUUAUAGCAGUAGGAUGUUAUAGGGCCAGGUGUUAUAGGAGUAGUAUGUUAUAGGGCCAGGUGUUAUAGCAGUAGGAUGUUAUAGCAGUAUGAUGUUAUAGCAGUAAGAUGUUAUAGGAUCAGGUGUUAUAGCAGUAGGAUGUUAUAGGGUCAGGUGUUAUAGGAGUAGGAUGUUAUAGCAGUAGGAUGUUAUAGCAGAAGGAUGUUAUAGCAGUAGGAUGUUAUAGGGUCAGGGGUUAUAGUAGUAGGAUUUAUAGCAGUAGGAUGGUAUAGCAGUAGGAUGUUAUAGGGUCAGGUGUUAUAGCAGUAGGAUGUUAUAGGGUCAGGUGUUAUAGCAGUAGGAUGUUAUAGUAGUAGGAUGUUAUAGGGUCAGGUGUUAUAGCAGUAGGAUGUUAUAGGGCCAGGUGUUAUAGGAGUAGGAUGUUAUAGCAGUAGGAUGUUAUAGCAGUAGGAUGUUAUAGGGUCAGGUGUUAUAGCAGUAGGAUGUUAUAGGGUCAGGUGUUAUAGCAGUAGGAUGUUAAAGCAGUAGGAUGUUAUAGGGUCAGGUGUUAUAGCAGUAGGAUGUUAUAGGGUCAGGUGUUAUAGCAGUAGGAUGUUAUAGCAGUAGGAUGUUAUAGGGCCAGGUGUUAUAGGAGUAGGAUGUUAUAGGGCCAGGUAUUAUAGCAGUAGGAUGUUAUAGGGUCAGGUGUUAUAGCAGUAGGAUGUUAUAGCAGUAGGAUGUUAUAGGGCCAGGUGUUAUAGGAGUAGUAUGUUAUAGGGCCAGGUGUUAUAGCAGUAGGAUGUUAUAGCAGUAUGAUGUUAUAGCAGUAAGAUGUUAUAGGAUCAGGUGUUAUAGCAGUAGGAUGUUAUAGGGUCAGGUGUUAUAGGAGUAGGAUGUUAUAGCAGUAGGAUGUUAUAGGGCCAGGUGUUAUAGGAGUAGGAUGUUAUAGGGCCAGGUGUUAUAGCAGUAGGAUGUUAUAGGGUCAGGUGUUAUAGCAGUAGGAUGUUAUAGGGCCAGGUGUUAUAGGAGUAGGAUGUUAUAGCAGUAGGAUGUUAUAGCAGUAGGAUAUUAUAGCAGUAGGAUGUUAUAGCAGUAGGAUGUUAUAGGGUCAGGGGUUAUAGCAGUAGGAUGUUAUAGCAGUAGGAUGGUAUAGCAGUAGGAUGUUAUAGGGUCAGGUGUUAUAGCAGUAGGAUGUUAUAGCAGUAGGAUGUUAUAGGGUCAGGUGUUAUAGCAGUAGGAUGUUAUAGGGUCAGGUGUUAUAGCAGUAGGAUGUUAUAGCAGUAGGAUGUUAUAGGGCCAGGUGUUAUAGGAGUAGUAUGUUAUAGGGCCAGGUGUUAUAGCAGUAGGAUGUUAUAGCAGUAGGAUGUUACAGCAGUAGGAUGUUAUAGGAUCAGGUGUUAUAGCAGUAGGAUGUUAUAGGGUCAGGUGUUAUAGGAGUAGGAUGUUAUAGCAGUAGGAUGUUAUAGGGCCAGGUGUUAUAGGAGUAGGAUGUUAUAGGGCCAGGUGUUAUAGCAGUAGGAUGUUAUAGGGUCAGGUGUUAUAGCAGUAGGAUGUUAUAGGGCCAGGUGUUAUAGCAGUAGUAUGUUAUAGGGCCAGGUGUUAUAGCAGUAGGAUGUUAUAGCAGUAGGAUGUUAUAGCAGUAGGAUGUUAUAGGAUCAGGUGUUAUAGCAGUAGGAUGUUAUAGGGUCAGGUGUUAUAGGAGUAGGAUGUUAUAGCAGUAGGAUGUUAUAGGGUCAGGUGUUAUAGGAGUAGGAUGUUAUAGGGUCAGGUGUUAUAGGAGUAGGAUGUUAUAGGGUCAGGUGUUAUAGGAGUAGGAUGUUAUAGGGUCAGGUGUUAUAGCAGUAGGAUGGUAUAGCAGUAGGAUGUUAUAGGGUCAGGUGUUAUAGGAGUAGGAUGUUAUAGGGCCAGGUGUUAUAGGAGUAGGAUGUUAUAGCAGUAGGAUGUUAUAGGGUCAGGUGUUAUAUGAGUAGGAUGUGAUAGGGCCAGUUGUUAUAGCAGUAGGAUGUUAUAGGGCCAGGUGUUAUAGGAGUAGGAUGUUAUAGCAGUAGGAUGUUAUAGGGUCAGGUGUUAUAGGAGUAGGAUGUUAUAGCAGUAGGAUGUUAUAGGGCCAGGUGUUAUAGCAGUAGGAUGUUAUAGCAGGUGUUAUAGGAAUAAGUUUUACAGCAAAAGGUAUUCAUUUAUGGGCUGUGUUCGAAAAAGUAUUCUUUAUCAGGAGCUGAAUGAAAGUACGAGAUGGAGUUACAUGAUGGAGAUAGAUAGAAACACAGACACCUGUUCUAAUUAGACAUGCAGCACUACUUAUAGCAUUGCCAGAACCCUAACAAUUCAGUCUGUCAUCAAGAAACUCUUAUUCUGUAUGUGAUCGACACAGGCCAUCACAGAGCUGAGAAUCUACAGCAACCCAAACUUCUGAAUCUAGUAAACAGAUUAUGUUGCUGGGAGACUACUACAUAAACAGGCCAUCUUUUGUGUGGUAGUAUUUGGUGUGAAUUUCCCCCCUAUGUUCCUAUAGCGAUGUGAAAGGAAUGUGUUAAUUAUUUCUUUAUACAUAUGGCACAACCAUUUGAGCCUGGUUAGUGUUUGUGCACACAGGAUUCAAAGACACUUAUAAACAGGGACUGUAUAAAUCAACAACAUGGUAUCACGUCACUAUAGAAAGACACACAGAUUGUAUAAACAUACAAACAUACAUACAUGUACUGUAGUAGUACAUAGACAUCAUUACAAUGACUUCAUCAUUUUCUCCUCGUCUUUUCUUUGCGUAUACACUUGUAUAUUGUACACAUUAGGAUACAGUUGGUGAGAAGGGUUUAGACAAAUAGGUAGAUAGAGUAACGGAACUGCACUUUUUUUCUUUACAGAAAAAAA